ACUGUUCCUCGUUAGCAUGAGGCGUUUGCACAAACACAGGCUACUGCCCGGAAACGUCGAAAGACGCCAAUGGGUAGACCAGGUCUUGCCGGAUUAAGGCUUGACUUAAGGUAGCUGGUUCCCAUGGACCUACGUUGUGCACUGCUGAAAACCUACGAGAGGGGAACCAC
rfam:Geobacter pickeringii strain G13, complete genome.